AAGGCCUACGGCUGUAACCAGUACUUACAGAGAUCCAUUUCCUGGAUGGAUAGAAGGAUUCAAAGCUCUUGACCCCAUGGUGAUCAGUGUUGGAAAAGGGAAGUUACCUUGUUUUCUUGGGGACUAUGAGUCAUUCUUUGACAUUAUCCCAGGAGAUAUGGUGGUAAAUUCUAUAAUAAUGGCAAUGGUAAAUCACGGAAAAACAAAUAAUAUUAUUUUCUCUCGGGGUGGCAACAAUAUUAUCUACCACAUUGGUAGUUCUACACACAGAGAGCCGAC